rnacentral:rRNA from 1 species
GACGAACAGUGCGAACGUUAUUCGGAAUCACUGGGCUUAAAGCGCGUGUAGGCGGAAGGGCACGUCCGUUGCUGAAAUCCCCCGGCUCAACCGGGGAACGGGCGCGGAUACGACUCUUCUGGAGGGGCGUAGGGGGACCUGGAACUUCCGGUGGAGCGGUGAAAUGCGUUGAGAUCGGAAGGAACGCCCGUGGCGAAAGCGAGGUCCUGGACGCCUACUGACGCUGAGACGCGAAAGCCAGGGGAGCGAACGGG